UCGGACGUGGUGCACGGUGCACACCCGCCCUUCUUAAAAGGCCUUGACAGGAUUUGGAGGCGGGAGCCCUGGGUUCGACUCCCAGCGUCCGAA